rnacentral:lncRNA from 1 species
GUCAAUAUAGGAUAUUUUUAUCUACCAUUGCAGUCUACAUCACUUCGGUAUUAACCAUCUCAAGCUAAAAUAUGCCAGACCAUUUGGGCCUUCGUAUAAUGAUGUUGUGAUUUAUUGCACUCUCAGUUUCCAUCCUGCAGCAAUUACCAGAAGAGCUGAUAAUGGUCUGCAAUUUGUUUUCCAGAACUGGGAGUAGCUGCCAGCAAGAGCCGCUCGCAGGGAAAGGUAGUGGCUGUUUACCUGGAUUGCUCAGCCAGACCAGGGAGGACAGACCCACUUGCGUUCUCCAACAGAAGACAGUGACACGACACAAAUGGUAGCACAAGGCUCUUACCAUUCCAUUCAAUAAGUGAGUCUCCAUGGAUGGAUUACAACUCCAAAGAGAGUUGCAAAGAGAGGACAGAAAGAGUGGAAUUAUGCUCCCAAGAAGAAAAAUCCAGAGUAAGAGCACUGGUUUAAUAGACAUAUUUUGGAUUUACACUGGCAUCUUGAAAGCAGAAUCGUCCCCUGUAGAUGUGGCAGUAUCACUGUAGCUCUCUCCAGAAAAUCUACAGCAGGCUUUCUGAAUGCUCGCACUCCUCCAGCCUGUCACAGCCUGUGUGCCGCUACCCGGAGCCCUCCAGACUCCAGCUGGCAGGAUGCCUGCCGUUGUCACCAGUCUACGAGAAGUGGGUUUCAACUGAAAAGCCAACCAUUUAGAAAAAGGCAUUGUUUCACCCACCCUCAGAUCAGGAUCUUUCAAAGCAAUUAAAACUUAAUUCUG